rnacentral:misc_RNA from 1 species
AGGUGGAUUGUCACACGCCGGGCUAACAGAGUUGUCAGUUUAUUGAAAAAAAGAUGGAGGUUAAUUCGUCUCGAACAGAAUCCCUUUGUCCCUCGGAUCCGUUCUCUUUGUCACGAGGUUUGCUAACAGCGGAAAACUCGAGCGAAAAGGCUCGAGAGUGUUGAAAAGGAAGAAUAGAGAAGAAAGGGCCGAGAGAAGGAGACGACGAGGUGUUGCAACACGCUGCUCGAUGCUCGACCGUGAGGGUGGUAACCGCCGACCGUGUUCCGGUCUCUACCGGAACCCCUCGACUCCACGACAUCAACAAGUGACAAGGAGGGAGUAGCAAAAACUCCGUCGUGGCGCGUCG